CACUUUUAAGAUCGGUCAUAAAAUAACCAAUCUUAAAAGUACUUUUAAGAUAGGUUAUUUUAUAACCAAUCUUAAAAGUU
rnacentral:miRNA from 1 species